UGAGUGUGUGACUGAGAAGUGUGAUUCCUCAUUUUCACCAUACUUGAAUCCUCCACAGUUCUUCUGGGAACUGCUUUGUGAUGUCAACACCAGCAGACAUUUUUGGAAAUGAAGAAAGAAAUUAGUCAAGAAAUUAAAGUCAAAACAAAUCUAAUAACAAUAAAGUCCCUCCCUCCAUUGAAAUGCCCAACAGUGGGGAAAGUGGAGGAAUGAGGUUGCCAGCCCAGUAAAAAGCUCUGACUCAGAAUCAUUCCUGUCUAAAAGGACUGCAGGGACAAAAAUGGAGAAGAGACUGA
rnacentral:lncRNA from 1 species